UCGCUUCAGCAGCACAUAUACUAAAAUUGGAACGAUACAGAGAAGAUUAGCAUGGCCCCUGCACAAGGAUGACAUGCAAAUUUGGGAAGCGUUCCAUAUUUGU
rnacentral:snRNA from 1 species